AUCUGGACUGUGCUUCUUUUUUUUCUUCUUUUUUUUCUAAAGGUAGAGUCAUUGAGAAAAGAGAAGAAGAAGUAGAAGUGGUGGAUAGACAGACGCCCGCAACUGAUGUGAGACUAGCAGCAACAACCCACACGGCUACGAGGCCAGGAAACGGGUGACAUGGCUGUUUUCACGUCUGAGAUGAAAUCAGCCGGCACUGGGUGCCAGUAGGAGGGAUAUCCGUCAAGUCGAGCUGCCCUGGGGCCAAACAACCUUUCCUGCAAGGCCCUGCUCCCUUAUCUGAUUCCAGCAGACGGCGCUGGAUGAUGG